rnacentral:rRNA from 1 species
AGUCGAGCGGACUUGAUGGAGUGCUUGCACUCCUGAUGGUUAGCGGCGGACGGGUGAGUAACACGUAGGCAACCUGCCCUCAAGACUGGGAUAACUACCGGAAACGGUAGCUAAUACCGGAUAAUUUAUUACAUAGCAUUAUGUGAUAAUGAAAGACGGAGCAAUCUGUCACUUGGGGAUGGCCUGCGGCCCAUUAGGUAGUUGGUGGGGUAACGGCCCACCAAGGCGACGAUGCGUAGCCCACCUGAGAGGGUGAACGGCCACACUGGGACUGAGACACGGCCCAGACUCCUACGGGAGGCAGCAGUAGGGAAUCUUCCGCAAUGGGCGAAAGCCUGACGGAGCAACGCCGCGUGAGUGUGAAGGUUUUCGGAUCGUAAAGCUCUGUUGCCAAGGAAGAACGUCUCAUAGAGUAACUGCUAUGAGAGUGACGGUACUUGAGAAGAAAGCCCCGGCUAACUACGUGCCAGCAGCCGCGGUAAUACGUAGGGGGCAAGCGUUGUCCGGAAUUAUUGGGCGUAAAGCGCGCGCAGGCGGUUCUUUAAGUCUGGUGUUUAAACCUGGGGCUCAACUUCAGGUCGCACUGGAAACUGGGGGACUUGAGUGCAGAAGAGGAGAGUGGAAUUCCACGUGUAGCGGUGAAAUGCGUAGAUAUGUGGAGGA